GAAUAAACCCUGCUACCCUGGCUUCCCCCAAAGUGUCCACAUUUUUGAAUCUUCCCUUUCCACUGACAAUCCUGAGACCUCCUUCCUCCCCGUUUAACACACCAGUGUUUUUUAGCAAUUAAGGCGAGAAGGGGGUGGGGAUAAAGAUAAGCCAAUUUUUUUUUCCGCCAUGCAAGUGUGAAAGAUAAGAUAAGGCUAAGCUGAGGCAAAGCGGCUGCUUACAACCUCCCCUCAGCGAUUCUGAUCGGUCACUUCUUAUCUCGCAAAAAUGCUCCUUUCGAAAACUGCAUCAAAAAAAGAAAAAGGCUGAAGGAAAGCAUUUUCAUUUGGAAGUGACAUUUAAAACCCACCUCCUCUACACCAGCAACCCCCUCCUCAUCCGCGGGACUCCCCAGGAAAAGUCGCACCUCGACUACAGGGUUUCAGGCUUUCUCGUGGGGGGCAGGAUUACUAGUGUAAUUAGGCUGAAUAAAACCAGGGAUGCGUGAUCAGGAAUUAUCCUGCCUCCAACCCCAAGCUCGCGGCCGGGUUUUCCUUCUCUGAGUUCCUGAUCGGUGUUUGUGUUUCAUCGUCUCGCUCGUGUGUUGAAACUAAACAGGCCCCUGUAAAGGAAGGAAAAGGCGUCAUGAGCCCCGGAACCUGAGAACCCUCAGCCGAACCGGACUCUCGAGGAGCCUUAUAAAAUCCUUUUCUCGCACAAAAAUCUCACCAAGGGGUUUCCGGAAGACUUUGUUGAGGGAGGUUUCGGUAUUGAACUCCAGGCCUGCAGAGCGGCCUGUAAAUUUCCCCCAGCCCAGCCGCUGGCCAGAUCGCGAACAUCCAGGCAGGCACCCCAGGCCGAGUUGAUGAGCCUCUGCGCCCACCUCCGGCUUAGAGCUCCCGAGAUCCCACCUCUUCACCCCUCAUCCCGGGUUUGCACCUCGGCGCCGGGCGCACACUGAGUCGGCCCCCUCCGGGCGCGACCUAAAGCCCGGGGCUAGCCGCGGCCGGAUAGUCCCCGGGGAGUCGAAACCGCCGAGCGGGGAAACCCCUUCUCUCGUCCUUCCCCGAAAAGCCUGGCCGCGGCGUAGGCGCCGAGCGAGCGGGCAUCCGCUGACAGCCGGGCCUCACGUAAGGCCCACACGCGUCCCAUUAGUCAGCCUGAGUUCCCCUCGGGCGAGCCGUCUGGCGCGGCCCCAAGGCCGGGCGCGGGAGGGGACCGGGGUGCGGGGCCGCGGCGAGCUGGCAGCGGGGCGGGGGCGCGGGCUCUGCGGGGCCCGGCCGGGCUCGGUUCCGCGUUCCUGGGCCCGCGGGUAAGCUGAGCCGGCGGGGCAGGCCGCUCCCUGGCUGGCGCCGAGGCGCCGAACUGCGCUUCACGUGCCCGCCAUAUCAGCGGCGGCGGCGGCGAGGAGCGGGGGCUGGGAGGCGGGCCGCAGCUCCCGCGGGGUCUCCGGCCCCCGCCUCCCCCGCCCUGCCCGGGGCCGGGUCUGGACCACCCCGCAGCCCGCAGCCCCUAUCCCCGCGCCGGCCGAGAUCGGCGCUGCCAGACGCAGAGAGGUUCCUAGGGCGCCGUUCCGAAAGCUGCGCUGCGGCGGCAGCCAGAGGAGGGUGCUCCUCGCGGCCGCCCCGGGAACUUCCCAGCCGCCCCGCCGCCGCCGCCGCAGUCACCGGGACCGGAAGCCCUUGCGCCGCCCCGAGCGGCCUCCGCUGGCCCCCAGGGCUGUUCCAGACGAGGGCUAGUUGCGCGUCACCUUCGAUCCCUCCUGGUCUCAGGUGGCCGUCCUCGCCCUGGAGCAUCCCCAUUUAAACCCGGAGGACCCUACUCGCGGUCCAGCGAGACCUUUCUCUAUUUCCACCAUCAGCGCGGCUCCCCCCGCAGCUGGGACGGGAGGGGCGCGGAGCCGCCACUCCCGCCGGGCAGGAACACCUGCUCCCAGGCCCUGCAGCUGGGCGCGUGGUGCUGGGAGAGGCUGCCUACUGUUGUAUGCAGAGAUCGCGGAGAAAAUGGGGCUCCGAAGCUCAGGUCCAGGCGCAGCCGCGCCCCGGCCACCCCCAUCCCCCAUCCUUUCUGUGCAAUCAGGCCCGAAGUUCGGGGAACUGGGGUCUUCCUGAGGGUCGAAGGGCCGCCAACCGUGGGAUCCGGCUUCUGGCCUUAAGAGGUCGUUUGCAAGAUAGAUGGGGCAAAACCUGUUUUGGGAGCCAUCCCGGUGUCCGCCCCCGCUCUCCAAACCAGACACACUCAUCUCCCCUCGGCCCUCACUCUAGCCUCCAGCGGGGGACCAGAGUAGGUCAUGGCGGCACUGGUACGGGGUUCGGACUUUGGCACUCCGCGUGGAGAGGGCCGAUGGACCCUCCCCAUCUCCUCCGUGCCCGGAGGAGAUCGGGCAGCCGAGAUGACCUGCGCCGCUUGCCCUGCCUCACCCCUCCUCCCCCGUCCCGCCCUCCCCGGCGCUCCUGGCCCAGGGCCCGGCCGAGGAAGGCGUUGUUUUGCCAGCGGGAGCCGAGCGAGUGCGCAGAGAAAAGCCUCCCUGCUCUAAUGAGAGUGCACACAGCGCUGCGGCGAGGAGGAUGAUUACCCGGCGGGCGGGGGGGCGCGGGCCCGGGCCGCGGGCGGCGUGUGCGGCGGCCCCGCGGGCCCGGAGUCCCCGCCUGUCUGGCUGCUAAUCGCACGCUUUCUGCUGUUACGGAGGCAGGCGGGAGCCGGCGGCCGAGCCCAGCGCCGGCGACUCGGCGGGUGACACGGAAACAUGGCGCAGCGCCCCUCCCCCGCCCGCCC
ensembl:lncRNA